UACGUAGGUGGCAAGCGUUUGUCCGGAGUUAUUGGGCGUAAAGCGCGCGCAGGCGGUGCGGUAAGUCUCUGGUGAAAGCGCUCGGCUUAACUGGGCGAGGGCCGGGGAGACUGCCACGCUGGAGGGGAGCAGAGGCGAGUGGAAUUCCGGGUGUAGUGGUGAAAUGCGUAGAGAGUCCGGAGGAACACCAGUGGGCGAAGGCGGCCCGCUGGGCAGAGACU
rnacentral:rRNA from 1 species